UUCUCCAAACGAUUCUAUGGUUCCUUCUUUGAAUUUUAUCUAUUUUUUCCCUUACCACUUUGAUAAAUCUCUCUCUCUCUCUCUCUCUUGAUUUUUCAAUCUUUAUAACUUUGAAUUGAAUGUCCAUGCAAUCUUUUCAACCAAGUGUCAUCUUUAUUAAGUAAACCCAAUCUGUUUUGAUCAGUGAAAAACUGAAUUGUUACCGCCAGAUUUCAAUUUUAUGUCGCCUCUCUUGAGUGAUUUAGGAACCGAAGAAGCCAAUUUUAUGAGCUUCUUGAUCCGACCUUGACGAGUCUGCAAUGAUGUCUGAAUUUGAUUUCUCCAGAGAACAAACACUGUGAUUGUACCAGAGACGACAGUGAUCUAGCAUAAGCAUAUACCAUUAAAAGAGAAGAUUGAACAAAGGGUGCGACUAACAAACGUUUGAAGGAGCAUGAAGAACUCUGUUUCAGAUCAUGGUUUUUACAUUGAGAGCGAUGAAGAUAAUGAGUUGGGAAAAGAAGAAAAUGAUGGCAAUGAAUCAGACUAUUCCAAUGAUUCUGAUGACAAUCAGGGACAGAGAAAACCCAGUUCUUACAGCAUGGCAUGGCCUCAAAGUUACAGGCAAUCCAUUGAUCUAUAUGGUAGUGUGCCAUCGCCAAAUAUUGGAUUUCUGGGCACCCCAUCAUUGUCAAGAUUAGGCAGUUCAUUUCUUGCUUCAACUUUGACAAGGAGGCAAACUCCUGAAAUCAUACCAUCAGUGAAGAAACCUCUGUUGCAACCGACAGUUGAUGAACAACAACGUCGUAGCUCUCACACAUUGCUUCCUCCUCACCCAACUAGGAGGUCUUCCAUUAAGAAGGAUGUUUCAAAGAUUUCUCAUGAAGUUCAUAUUCCUGGCCAAUGCACUUUUGGACAAGCUGUGCUUAAUGGCAUAAAUGCCCUUUGUGGAGUAGGAAUCCUUUCAACCCCUUUUGCCCUUAAAGAAGGUGGAUGGGCUGCACUUUCUAUCUUGAUUAUAUUUGCAGUUUUCUCCUUUUAUACUGGCUUGCUUUUGCGUUAUUGUUUGGAUAGUGAACCUGGCCUUGAGACUUACCCUGACAUUGGCCAAGCAGCUUUUGGUACUACUGGACGUGUUGUCAUUUCAAUAAUAUUAUACAUGGAAUUAUAUGCUUGUUGCAUUGAAUACAUAAUUCUAGAAAGCGACAACUUGUCUUCCUUAUUUCCAAAUGCACAUUUAAGUUUUGGUGGAAUUGAAUUGAAUGCACACAUUCUAUUUGCAAUCUUGACCACCUUGGCCAUUCUUCCUACCGUUUGGCUUCGGGACCUUCGCAUUCUAAGUUACAUAUCAGCUUGUGGAGUUAUUGCAACGGUUGCAGUGGUUCUUUGCUUGUUGUGGGUUGGCGUGGUAGAUGAUGUUCCCAUUCAUACAAAAGGAACAACAACACUGAACCUCUCAACUUUCCCUGUUGCGAUGGGUCUCUAUGGUUACUGCUUCGCUGGACAUGCUGUGUUCCCUAACCUAUACAGAGCUAUGGCAAAUAGAAAUCAAUUCCCUGCCGUGCUCUUGACAUGUUUUGCUAUUUGUACAGCUAUGUAUUUUAGUGUAGCUGUAAUGGGAUACUCAAUGUUUGGAGAAACUACACUGUCUCAGUAUACUCUUAACAUGCCAAAAGACUUGGUUGCCUCCAAGAUUGCUGUGUGGACUACGGUGGUUAAUCCAUUUACCAAAUAUGCUUUGAGUCUAACUCCAGUAGCAAUGAGUCUUGAGGAAUUGAUACCAUCAAAUAAUCCCAACUUCCAGUUCUACUCCAUCUGCAUCAGAACAGCACUAGUUGUUUCUACACUACUUGUUGGUCUUUCAGUUCCCUUUUUCGGUUUGGUAAUGUCAUUAACUGGGUCUUUGUUCACCAUGUUUGUUUCCCUUAUUCUACCAUCUGCUUGCUUCCUAAGCAUCAAGGGUGGUAUAAUUUCGCGCUAUCAGUAGCAAUGUGAUAUCAGAUGGUACAAUGGGGAAAUCCAUAUUUAUGGCGCCCAAACUUUCAAAGUCUCAUCUUCAGAGGCAAAACCUUGGAGACGGAUCAUCAGAGUCAGAUCCUUAGGCUCAGUUACUUAGAGACAGAUCCUUAGAGGCAUCACCUUUGGAGGGAACACUUCCUCUUAUCCAAGGAGUGUGAUGAGACUCAUCACGAAGGAGAAAACUUUUUUUGAAUCAAAGAUCCAAAUAUUUAUAGUUGAAAGAUUAGAACUUUAGCAUCAAAACAUUUCAUAUGGCGGCUAGCUCAAGGAGAAAGACGAAUAAAAUUAUUAGGAUGAGCUUUAUGGUGGAGCUGGAACUAUCGAUUCAGUGGAGAUGAUGAGCGAUUACUUUGAUGAUUGAUUUAAAGCUAGAGAUGGAGUGUAUGGACCGAUUUCGGACACAGCCACACCUUGCAUUGAGUGAGGUAGGGGAUAAUGAGCUUUUGCUUAAUGAUUUUAAAUAGAUGAAAUUUUGUUGCUUUAUUGCAGACAAACUCUAACAAGACUCUAGUGUAACACCAUUAAUUUUAUCUUACCCUACUUAUUUGUUUAAACAAUAUUUGUUAGUAAUGAUAUUGGUAUGAAAAUAUCUUACCCUA